GUCGAGAAUCUUUCACAAUGGGGGCAACCCUGAUGGAGCGACGCCGCGUGGAGGAUAAGGUCUUCGGAUUGUAAACUCCUGUCAUGCGUGAACAAGGUUGCUUGGUUAAUACCUGGGCAAAUUGAUGGUAACGCAAGAGGAAGAGACGGCUAACUCUGUGCCAGCAGCCGCGGUAAUACAGAGGUCUCAAGCGUUGUUCGGAAUCACUGGGCGGAAAGGGUGCGUAGGCGGCGUGGUAAGUCAGAUGUGAAAGCCCGGGGCUCAACCUCGGAACUGCAUCCGAUACUGCCAUGCUAGAGUACUGGAGAGGUGACUAGAAUUCUCGGUGUAGCAGUGAAAUGCGUAGAUAUCGAGAGGAAUACCAAAGGCGUAGGCAGGUCACUGGACAGUUACUGACACUGAGGCACGAAGGCCAGGGGAGCGAACGGGAUUAGAAACCCUUGUAGUCC
rnacentral:rRNA from 1 species